GGGAGUGUAGCUCAACUGGUAGAGCGACAGACUUUUAAUCUGAGAGUAGUAGGUUCGACCCCUGCCAUUCCCC
rnacentral:tRNA from 2 species